rnacentral:rRNA from 1 species
GACGAACGCUGGCGGCGUGCCUAACACAUGCAAGUCGAACGGAGUUACUUCGAUGAAGUUUUCGGAUGGAUUUGAUUUAACUUAGUGGCGGACGGGUGAGUAACGCGUGAGCAACCUGCCUUUCAGAGGGGGACAACAGUUGGAAACGACUGCUAAUACCGCAUGAUACAGCGAGGAGGCAUCUCUUUGCUGUCAAAGAUUUAUCGCUGAAAGAUGGGCUCGCGUAUGAUUAGAUAGUUGGUGAGGUAACGGCUCACCAAGUCGACGAUCAUUAGCCGGACUGAGAGGUUGAACGGCCACAUUGGGACUGAGACACGGCCCAGACUCCUACGGGAGGCAGCAGUGAGGAAUAUUGGGCAAUGGGCGCAAGCCUGACCCAGCAACGCCGCGUGAAGGAAGACGGUUUUCGGAUUGUAAACUUCUUUUAAGAGGGUACGAGUAAUGACGGUACCUCUUGAAUAAGCCACGGCUAACUACGUGCCAGCAGCCGCGGU